CUGACGCAGCGACGCCGCGUGUGGGAUGACGGCCUUCGGGUUGUAAACCACUGUCGGAAGGGACGAAUGGCCCGCAAGGGCAGUGACGGUACCUUCAAAGGAAGCACCGGCUAACUCCGUGCCAGCAGCCGCGGUAAUACGGAGGGUGCGAGCGUUGUCCGGAAUCACUGGGCGUAAAGGGCGCGUAGGCGGCCCGGUAAGUAGGGGGUGAAAUCUUGCGGCUUAACCGCAAGGCUGCCUUCUAGACUGCCAGGCUCGAGCACAGUAGAGGCAGGUGGAAUUCCCGGUGUAGCGGUGGAAUGCGUAGAGAUCGGGAAGAACACCAGUGGCGAAGGCGGCCUGCUGGACUGUAGCUGACGCUGAGGCGCGACAGCGUGGGGAGCAAACAGGAUUAGAUACCCUGGUAGUCCACGCCGUAAACGAU
rnacentral:rRNA from 1 species